UCCCAGGCUGCAGGCCACAGAUAGACCCAGUGUCAGGCCUCUGGCCAGCCAGUGAUUCUGAGGCAGGGACAUCACUGCCCACCUAACUCUCCUGCAGACCCCAGUCCUAGCGCACCACUCUAAGUAGGCCACAGACAGGCCCAGCGGCAGGCUUCUGACCAGGCAAAGUUUCUGAGACGGGUCCAUCAUCGAUCUACUACCUCUCUGAAGAUCCCAGCCCCAACGCCAACCUGCUACCCUGUCCUUUCCAUGGAUGCAGGCCACAGACAGACACAGCAGCAGGCCUCUGGCCAACCAGUGAUUCUGAGGCAGGGACAUCACUGUCCACCAACCUCUCCUGCAGAUCCCAGUUCCAGUGCCCACCCGCUAAUUAGACUGUCCUAUCCAUGGCUGCAGGCCACAGACAGAUUCAGCAGCAUGCCUCUGGCAAGCCAGUGACUCUGAGGCAGGGACAUCUCUGCCCACCUUCUUCUCCUGAAGUAUCCAGCACCCACCUUCUAGCCUGCUUUGUGCCUGGCUGCAUGCCACAGACAGACCUGGCCAUGGGCCUCUUGCCAACCUGUGAUUCUGAGGCAGGGACAUCACUGACCACCUACUUCUCCUGCAGACCCCAGCCCUAGAGCCAACCCGCUAGAUGCAGGACACAGACAGACCCAACUCCAGGCCUCUGGCCAGCCAGUGAUUCUGAGACAGGGACAUCACUGCCCCCCUACGUCUCCUGAAGACGCCAGCCCCAACUCCAACCUGCUUCCCUGUCCUUUUCCUGGGUGCAGGCCACAAACUGACCCAGCAGCAGGCUUCUGGCCAGCCAGUGAUUCAGAGGCAGGGACAUCACUGUCCACCCACCUCUCCUACAGAUCCCAGCUUCAGCGCCCA